rnacentral:rRNA from 1 species
UACGUAGGUGGCAAGCGUUGUCCGGAUUUACUGGGCGUAAAGAGCGCGCAGGCGGUCGGAUAAGUCGAAUGUGAAAGCCCCCGGCUCAACUGGGGAGGGUCAUUCGAUACUGUUCGACUCGAAGGCAGGAGAGGGAAGUGGAAUUCCCGGUGUAGUGGUGAAAUGCGCAGAUAUCGGGAGGAACACCGGUGGCGAAGGCGGUUCUCUGGGCCUUACCUGACGCUGAGGAGCGAAAGCGUGGGGAGCGAACAGG